rnacentral:rRNA from 1 species
CGGGUGGUAAUACCGGAUGCUCCGCUCCAUCGCAUGGUGGGGUGGGAAAUGCUUUUGCGGCAUGGGAUGGGGUCGCGUCCUAUCAGCUUGUUGGCGGGGUGAUGGCCCACCAAGGCGUUGACGGGUAGCCGGCCUGAGAGGGUGACCGGCCACAUUGGGACUGAGAUACGGCCCAGACUCCUACGGGAGGCAGCAGUGGGGAAUAUUGCACAAUGGGCGCAAGCCUGAUGCAGCGACGCCGCGUGCGGGAUGGAGGCCUUCGGGUUGUAAACCGCUUUUGUUCAAGGGCAAGGCACGGUUUCGGCCGUGUUGAGUGGAUUGUUCGAAUAAGCACCGGCUAACUACGUGCCAGCAGCCGCGGUAAUACGUAGGGUGCGAGCGUUAUCCGGAUUUAUUGGGCGUAAAGGGCUCGUAGGCGGUUCGUCGCGUCCGGUGUGAAAGUCCAUCGCCUAACGGUGGAUCUGCGCCGGGUACGGGCGGGCUGGAGUGCGGUAGGGGAGACUGGAAUUCCCGGUGUAACGGUGGAAUGUGUAGAUAUCGGGAAAAGAACACCA